rnacentral:rRNA from 2 species
GUCGGUGACAAAUCGUGAGGAAAACUCCCGUUCCCAUCCCGAACACGGUCGAAAAGACUCAUUGAGGCGAAAAUACUUGGCGGGCCACUGCCUGGGAAGAUAGCUAGUUGCCGACA